CCUACAUUGCGCAUGGGCGAUGCCUGAUCCAGCAUGCCGCGUGAGUGAUGAAGGCCUUCGGGUUGUAAAGCUCUUUUACCCGGGAUGAUAAUGACGGUACCGGGAGAAUAAGCCCCGGCUAACUCCGUGCCAGCAGCCGCGGUUAUUAUAUAUA
rnacentral:rRNA from 1 species